UCUGGCAACACACCUCAGUGUGUUGGCGGCCAUCAUGUGGUUUACUAAAAUUCAAUUUUUGUUUUUAAACUUUCAGCUGCGGUUAAGCUGACGUUGUUUUUUUAGUAGCGUUGUUGUGAAAGUGAAGUAAGACGGUAAACUCGUGUUCAAACUGCGAGAAUAGAGUGUUUUUAUUUCGAAUUUAUAAAACCAAACUUUGGAAAACUCGGAGUUUGAGUGGACCGGAGCCGAGGACUUAUCUUUAAAGAGAACACCUGAGCUGCUGCAGGAGGGUUUCCACAUUUCUACAUUUCUACAUCCGUCUGUAUGUGAAGAAGUCUCCAUGUGACCAAUGAACUGUCCAGUGGAUCACUGCUUCACCUGAUGACUGCUGGGAUUGGUCCAAGCUUCAGCCAUGACCCUUACAAGGAUUGACCCACAGGAAUCUGUCAGCUGUGCGCCGCACUCAUCAUCAAACAAUGUUCUGACAAAAUUGUCACAGCUGAAGCCCCCUGUUGUUUCCGUAGAGUUGGGCUGGAGGAUUGGCAGAUGGGUGAGUCACGACUUCACAGACUAUUAAUGUCCUUUAUUUAUAAUGUGGAAAUUAACAUGGUAACAGAUAAAAGCAAAAUGAAAAAUCAUAUAUGAGCUAAAAGAAAUGGAGGUAUCCAUUCACUGUCAUUACUGCAGUGAAGUGAACCAGGUGUGGAGUUAUUUGUUGGUGUAGAUGUAGCUUCAUAUCAGUAUGGAAUCAUAAUAAUGCUAAGCUUCAUUUUUAUUAGCAGAAGAUAAACUACAAUCAGAAGUUGCAGUGAACCUGUCAUGUACUCAAGAUGUAGCAGCUGUCAGCUACAACUGUCAGUCACAGUGCCCCCUGGAUGCAGGAUAACACAUGGAUGCGUUUUAGCAUCGUGUUUCCUCUCCUCUUAAUUAGUUCUCAAUUCAUAAAAGUGAUGAUUUUCUAUGGUACAAGACCAUAAACCAAUAAUUAAGGCCAUUCAAAUACUCUUUUUCCACAAUUACCUUAUUUGCCAUUAACAAUUCUAAUGAGGCAAACAUUCAGCAAAACGUGCAUAUCCAAUUCAAGCAAAAAUAACAAGCAAAAAAUAAUUCCGUGGAAACGUGUUGUAUUUUUGGUGGUUUCAAAUCUACUGAUCUGGGCUGAACUUUAAUCAAUGUUAAUUGAGGUGACUGAUUUCAAGGCAUUGUACAGCUCUAAGGGACAUCAAGUAGUCACACAAUCAAGAAAAAAGUAGGCGGCAUGUGAGAACGUCACAGUAUUGGUUGUGUUGCCCUGAUAGACACAGACAUUUAUGUUUCUGUUCUUAGUGCAAGCAUAGACCAAAAUGGCAGGUACUGUGUUUUUUGGUUUUGUUUUGUUUGUUUUUUUCAAAAGUCAAAACCUUCAGAAAUAUUAAAAAUUGCAGACAACCAAUUACCACACUAGAAAAACACAUGGUAGCAUACGUGUCUGACAAAGCAGGUGAUGGAAGAGAGUGAGCCCUUAUUAGGCUGUACCAGUUGAUAGCUAAGGAACUACAGCUGCACACCUUCCAAACCCUUUUGUUGGAUGUCAUAUUUUUACAUACAUAAUUAAAAAAAAGAAAUGUAAACGUGCUAUAAUACCACCUCAAAUUUAUUAAAUAAUAAUAAAAAAUUACAAUCAUUUUUAAGUCAGUCUCCUCCGUGUUCACGGUAAGGUUAUUCUGCCUUUCCUCAUUCCUCCUUUUUUUUCUUCUUUGGCCUCAAAGAAGUUGAGUUGAGUUGCAGCACUCCCACCUACAUACAGGAUACAGGAACAUACAGAGGAGGGCGCCCCUGCUGAUAAACAAACAACUGGUGGUGAAAUGGGAUGUCUGUUCUUCCUGACGGUUGUACUUUAGAUAUAAGUGCACUUGAACACAACAAAUGUAUCUCUGUCUUGUUGUCAAUAAAUGUUGCUGCAAUGUAGCGUUAGCAACGCCAGGGGAAUAAGCUGUGCUAUUUACCUAAGAUGUCAGAGGUCUGCAGGAUGCUGAGGUUUUUUGAUGAUUGGAUUUUUUUUUUCCACUCUUACUUGUCUCUUACACUGAAUGCCCGUGUAAUUUCUGUUCCACUCUUUAAACAAAAGAUGUCCCCACUUUAUUGUUUAGCUAAUUAGAUAAUCUCUGUGUACUGGAUAAAAGCUUUUACUGUGUGAUACAUAAAUGUCAUGCCGUGGCAGUCUGUUGUUGCGUUUUGAAUGGAUGUAUUCAGUGUCUGUGUGCUGUAUCACAGUUAGUGAACCAAUUGCUGUCAAACAAAAGUGGUAUUCUGUUACAUUAUCUUGGAAACAUUCAGUGAAAUUGGAGUUUUUUAUUUGUUUUAUUUUUAUUUUAGUGCAUACUACCACCUACUGUUCAGAUUUGCACUACUUUCUCUUUCAAAUCAUUUUUAUAUAUUUUCACCAAAAAAAAAAAAGAGAGAAAAUGUUGGCAUAUUUUUUGCUACCAUUUUCUGUCAGUGUUAGCAUUUUACAACCCCCUUACUGAACCUGACCACCGAACCAAGGCUUGAAUGCAAACAAAUGAACAAACACGAGCAUGACUAUCUUGUAUUGUAUUACACUCCUACCCUCUGUGGCCUUUACUGCGGUGAUUUCUUUAUCUUAUUAUAUGGGUUUAUUAAGAAAAUUGGUUUUAAAAAUCGUAAAAAACAACAACUCUGCAAUCCAGCUCCUUGUACACAAACAACAAACAAACAAACAAAUAGUAUUUUUUUAAAAUAAUUCCGUACAACUUAUGGUCCAGUAUUUGCCAGUGACACUCCGCCGAAGGAACUUUUUAAAAUUGUAAAACAACCGUUAAAUCCGUCAACUUUUCCCCCGUUCAUCGGUCUCAUCUGCACGCGCUCUGCUGUCUUCCAGCAGACAGCAGCGGCCGUCCUCGUGCAGCUGAGUCCCUCAAACUGCAGUGCGGCAGCGCUUCGCUAUUUUAAGAAUUAUUUUUACAUGUACUGGAUUAAUAUUUAAUUGCCUUCCCAGUCUCGGCCGACCGAGCCGUUUAAAGACUGCUAAGUUGUUUUCUUUCCAGACAUCACAGACAGGCUCCUGCCAUUCGUUUUAUUUAUUUAUUUUUUUAUUUUUUUAAUCUUUUAACUAAAAGCUGGCAUUUAAAUUAAGUCCGUUUUCAGCAUGGACAGACAUACACACACACACACACACGCACGGACGUAUAAAAACAAGUUAAGCUCCGUCUCUUACCUCUCCUGA